UGCUGCUGCCCUUCUUGGGCGUUUCCUCCCUAAACUUCGGGCCGCUGUCACCAGCGGCCUUUUUUCUUGGGUUCA
rnacentral:sRNA from 1 species